rnacentral:rRNA from 1 species
AUCGACGCGAGGUUCUAGCCGCCCGUACCCCAAACCGACUCAGGUGGUCAGGUAGAGAAUACCAAGGAGAUCGAGAGAAUCGUGGUUAAGGAACUCGGCAAAAUGCCCCCGUAACUUCGGGAGAAGGGGGGCCUUCGACGUAUUAGGACUUGCUCCGAAAGCGUUUGGAGGCCGCAGAGACUAGUGGGUAGCGACUGUUUACUAAAAACACAGGUCCGUGCCAAGUCGCAAGACGAUGUAUACGGACUGACGCCUGCCCGGUGCUGGAAGGUUAAGAGGAGCGGUUAGCGUAAGCGAAGCUGCGAAUUUAAGCCCCAGUAAACGGCGGUGGUAACUAUAACCAUCCUAAGGUAGCGAAAUUCCUUGUCGGGUAAGUUCCGACCUGCACGAAUGGCGUAACGACUUCCCAACUGUCUCAACCGCGAACUCGGCGAAAUUGCAUUACGAGUAAAGAUGCUCGUUACGCGCAGCAGGACGGAAAGACCCCGUGACCUUUACUACAGCUUGGUAUUGGUGUUCGGUGUGGCUUGUGUAGGAUAGGUGGGAGACUUUGAAGCGUGGACGCUAGUUCAUGUGGAGUCAUUGUUGAAAUACCACUCUGGUCACUCUGGAUAUCUAACUUCGAACCGUAAUCCGGUUCAGGGACAGUGCCUGGUGGGUAGUUUAACUGGGGCGGUUGCCUCCCAAAAAGUAACGGAGGCGCCCAAAGGUUCCCUCAACCUGGUUGGCAAUCAGGUGGCGAGUGUAAGUGCACAAGGGAGCUUGACUGUGAGACUGACAGGUCGAGCAGGGACGAAAGUCGGGACUAGUGAUCCGGCAGUGGCUUGUGGAAGCGCUGUCGCUCAACGGAUAAAAGGUACCUCGGGGAUAACAGGCUGAUCUUGCCCAAGAGUCCAUAUCGACGGCAUGGUUUGGCACCUCGAUGUCGGCUCGUCGCAUCCUGGGGCUGGAGUAGGUCCCAAGGGUUGGGCUGUUCGCCCAUUAAAGCGGUACGCGAGCUGGGUUUAGAACGUCGUGAGACAGUUCGGUCCCUAUCCGCUGCGCGCGUAGGAAGUUUGAGAGGAUCUGACCCUAGUACGAGAGGACCGGGUUGGACGAACCUCUGGUGUGUCAGUUGUUCCGCCAGGAGCACCGCUGAUUAGCUACGUUCGGGAUGGAUAACCGCUGAAAGCAUCUAAGCGGGAAGCCGGCCUCAAGAUGAGACUUCCAUGCCUUCGGGCGAGAGGCUCCCAGCCAGACUACUGGGUUGAUAGGCCAGAUGUGGAAGCGUGGCAACACGUGCAGCUGACUGGUACUAAUAAGCCGAUGACUUGAAAAG